rnacentral:lncRNA from 10 species
UUCGCCGAGCCAUCUAAUAAAGAAUCCAGGGGGGAGAAUGAUGGGGGCGAGGAGAGGGAAAGUGCUAACAUUUAUUAAGUGCCCGCUGGGUGCCCAGCACUUCCUCAACAACUAGAGCAGCGGUCUUUCUGCUUUCUUUCAGCUGCAUAACCCUUUCCUCCAUCCAAAAUCGCAAGCCUAACCUGGCCGUGUAAACAAACACCAGGGAAGCGCCUCUGAUGGAAGGGGAUGGGGCACCUAAGGCCCUGUCUCUCACCAUGUAGCAUCCUCCCCACUCCUAACAGACACUUUGGUGCUUCCAUGAAACCUGGAUCUAAAAGCUCUGUGCUCAUUAAAUCUACAUAUAACUCUCCAAGGAAAUAGUAUCCCCAUUUUUAUAAUACCAAGCUAAAGGCCAGAGAGGGAGAGUGUAGGAUCACACAAUUUUUUUUUUUUUUUGAGAUGGCGUUUCACUGUCACCCAGGCUAUAGUGCAAUGGCGUGAUCUCAGCUCACUGCAACCUCCACCUCCCUGAUUCAAGUGAUUCUCCUGCCUCAGCCUUCUGAGUAGCUGGGAUUAUAGGCGCGCGCCACCACGCCCAGCUAAUUUUUGUAUUUUAAUAGAGACGGGGUUUCACCAUAUUGGCCAGGCUGGUCUCCGAGCUCCUGACCUCAGGUGAUCCGCCUGCUUUGGCCUCUCAAAGUGCUGGGAUUAUAGGCGUGAGCCACCGCGUCCGGCCCAGGGACACGAUUAUUAAAGGGCAGAGAGCCAGACUGGGGAGGCAGGUGUGCUCCAUUCCCAAGCCCAUGCUUGCCCUGGCUCUGCCGGGAAGACAGUAGGUGCUUUGCUUCCUGAGAAAGGUCAGGAAGAGGCGUGGCUCCUCCAGCUGUACAGACGACCAGGCCAGAUCCACAUGGCCCCGUUUGGUGCUUGGAUGUCUGGUAAACUGCCUGCCAAGGAGGAACGCAGAGGUGAAGCACCUGGUCCGACCCAUCAUUUCACGCUGAAUCGCCUGUUGACCCAUCUCACUUGACUGACUCCUGGGAUGGAGGCCUGGCUCCCUCCAAGGCAGCCCCUUGCGUUGGAAGAAAGGCAAUGGUGUGAAGCCUGUCUGGUUGUACCCUCCAGCUGCGGGUCCUUACUCCAGCUCUCAGAACCAGAAGGAAUCUGUCUAAUUGCUCAUCUACUGGAGAGCCCUUGAGGAUCAGCCACCUCUGAGGCCAAGACCUGACCCAGAUUCCGGUACCCUUCACAGAAGGAGCCACCACAGUGGAGAAGGAAGCUCAUGGCUUUUGGGCAAGAGCCUCUUUGAAAAGGAGGAAGAGCUCGCAAAGGGUGACGGCAGAGAGAUGCCCAGAAUCUUGCAGGAGGAAGGAGAAUGCAGCCUAACUUGCUGGAAGGAUUCAGGAGACGUGUGAGUAAGAGCCAAGAUUUCCCAGAUCAGCCUACAGCCAAGAUAAGCACAGCUUUCUACCCAACCUGCACCUCACCACAGAGAAUGGAAGAAUCACUCAGCCAUCCUGUAUAUUGUAGCAAUAAUGUAUGGUUAUUUUUUCUAGGCACUGAGUUUUGGGAUGAUUUGUUAUGCAGCAACAGCUGGCUGCUACAGAGAUUGUGCCCACCCUCACAGCCCCCUGGAUCUGUGUGCUCGCACUGAGUUUUGGGAUGAUUUGUUAUGCAGCAACAGCUGGCUGCUACAGAGAUUGUGCCCACCCUCACAGCCCCCUGGAUCUGUGUGCUCUCACUGAAAAGCAAAAGUAACUUCUGUUUUUCUCUUCUCUGUGGCCACCAGGGCUGCUGCCCAAACAGAAAGGCAAUUUGCUUAGUGGUGGAGGUUGUGACCUCCAGAGUCAGACAGUCCUGGAAUCCUAUCCCAGCUGUGUGACCUGCAGUUGGCUUCUUAACCACUCUGUGCCUCAGUGUCUCCAUCUACAAAAGGCACAGUUUCUACCCCAUCAGGUUGUGGUAAGGACUAGAAAAGACAUUGGAAGUAAAGUGCAUGACACCAAAGUGCUCCAAAUGACAUUUUUUGUUGUUUAUUUGUGGUAGUUGAUGUUCAUAUUUUCCCAAAAAAGCCUCUUCUUAUCUUCAUCAGCCCAGAUUGCCUGAAUUUUUUGCCAGGAUAUCUUCCCAGUGGAGGGAGACAAGCUAGAAUUGGUAGCCACAUGCCUUUGGUGCAGAUUUCACAAACACUGUGAUUUUUGGCAAGCAGAGUCUGCCAGUUGCAUAGGAACAAGCCUGCCUGAUAACAUCCCAGUUUAACCAUCUCCAAAGCACUUUCAUAUCCAUGCUCAGAUUUGAAAGCCUCACAAGAAUCCUGGGAGGUGGGCAAGGCAGGAGCUGGCAGCCCCAUUUUAUAGACGAAGACACUGAGGUUUAGAGAGUUCCCCUGACUUGCAGAAGUUAAAAUGUGGCCCAGGUUAUCUGGUCACAGAGGAGAGCUGCCCCUGUCCUGGGCCACUCAACCUCUCCCACAGGGACAGAUCUCAGCCGUGGAGAUGCUGGAAAGAGCUCUGGAAUCCCUGAUGAGGGGCUACACCCUAGAGUCCUAAAUGUCCCUCUGUAGAAUACGAUUUUAUUCCCUGAGCAGGAGGGAUCUCUUCCUCUCCCUGUGCCAGCGGAGUAGUUUGGGAGUUAUAGUGGGAGAUCUCUUUAGUAUUUAGCAAAAUCAGGAUUUUAAAUUUAAUGGUGAUUAGGCAGGGUCCCUUCACACUGUCUAUCACCCCCGACAGAGUUAAAACAUCAAUAACAAUGCGGGUCCCAAUGGAGAUCCUUGUCCCCAGCGUCAUGAUGUCCAGGGAGCCUGGUUAUGGAUGUAGCCAGCUGUCUCACUGACUCUCUCCUUUGGGUUUAGCCUCACCUGCCAGCUCACUGGGUGUAAACAGGAGGUGGAGGGGUUCUUGCUGUGUGUUAUGUAUUUAUUCAUGGGUUUACUUAGUUGCUUCUCUACAAAACCAAACAUUGCCCCCUUUUUACCUCUUCUUCCCAAAAGUUACUUUCAGAGUUUGCCAAGAAGCCUGGAAAGUUGUUAUGGCUUCAGGAAGGCCCAAAACACAACCGAAAAACAAAAACCAAAAACACAGUGCAGCAAUAUUAAACAGCAUUGUGGAAAGAACUGCCCUGUAAAAUGGCUUUUGUGUUGGCCAGCUCCCUUCCAUAGCGGGUAGACUAUUAAAUGGGUGUAGCCAGAAGGAAUGGGCCAUUUUGCCGUCUACUCUCUUCCCUUACUAUUCUAUCAUAAGCAUUUUCCUUGUUGCAGCACAUUAAAUUAUGGUGUAUGCACCAGUAGAAUUUUAGACAGUCAUGAAAAAAAUGAUUAUUACAAAGAACAGAUUGUUUCUUGGAAUGCACCUUCCUGAUGAGGCAGCACCCUUUCUCAUUCUGUGCUUUGUAAAAAUUGCAAACUGGCUACCAGGCCUCAGAUGUCCCCCAGAGCUCCCUGUCUGAGGACAGAGCAAGGUAGAAAUCAUCUCAAACCAAGCUGAGCCCUGUGGUCUGGAGUGUCCCAGCUACAGGCAUAGUAUGCACCCUGCCCAGACCCCUGGCAAGCCCCUAUGCCCAGUCCCCCCUUCACACUCAUUUUUGGGUUGGUGCUGCUUUCUAGUUUUUCUCUCUGAUCUGUUACUCUCCUAGAACGUAAGGGCCUGGGAGGCAGGAAUCUCAGUUUAUCAGACUCUCCCGUUAUCCUUGUAUAAUAUUUGCAUUAAUGGGGACAAUGAUGGUGUUGAUGAUGGUAGGAGGAAGUUUAGUGCCUGGUAAAGCACUUUGGGACCCACAGACUGGAGUUAGGUCCCAGGACCCUCACUGACCAUCUUGCUUUGACGCUUUUGACCUUGACUUACACGAGCAUCAUCUCUGAUCCUCAUCACUGCUUUGAGAUGGUGAAAUUAUCAUCAUCCCCAUUUUUGAAGCUGAAGAAACUGAGGCACAGUUUAAGUAGCUGCUUCCAAUGUGAUAGAGUGAAUGAGGGUUAGAGAAACCUGGAUUCAAAGCCUGCCUCCACCCGCUACUGUCUGAUGCUGGCAAGUUUUGCAACCUCUCUGCACCUCCCUGUCCUCAGCCAGCCCCUGCACGGGCUUAAUAAAUUCUAACCACUCAUCCCUUCCCACAUGCUGUGAGCAAAUAACUGCUUGGGAGCUACUGGGCUCCGGGCAGAGAGCAGCUCUGCCUGAGUCACUCCGGAGCAACUGGUAUUGAUUGGGUGGGCACACCACCAGUGGCUGGCAGGGUGGGCCCCUAACCUCUGCCACCCCCGCCUAGGCCUCUUGUUCCUCUGUCUCCAAUCUCAUCCCACCAUGGCUGUGAAGAACAAGCCCACCUUCCUGCCUCAUGCCCUUCUCUGGGUCCUCUCAGCCACAGCAGCCCCCAACCUGCAUUUUCACCCUCCUCCAAACAGGCACUCCAUGGAGGGUCUGCCCUCAGCCCUGCAUUGCUGAGAGAGCCUCACUGGAGGCAGGGGACAACUGAGGGGUCCUAGACAGGAUGCUCUCAGGAGAUGG